AUGCGAUACUUGGUGUGAAUUGCAGAAUCCCGUGAACCAUCGAGUCUUUGAACGCAAGUUGCGCCCGAGGCCACCAGGCCGAGGGCAUGCCUGCCUGGGUGUCACACACCGUCACCCGCACGCGAGACGUCCCCGGUCGGGGCGCGGCGUGUGGCGUGCACGCUGACCUCCCGCGAGCGGCGCGCCGCGGCUGGUUGAAAAUCGAGUCCACGGGCGGGGUGCGCCGUGACGGAAUGGUGGAAGGGCGGAGGCCCGAGACCGGUCACGCGCCGUCCCGCGCGGUUGGGGCUCCCCGGACCCCUGCGGCGUCCCCGGACGCCCCCGGCGAGACCUCAGGUCAGGCGGGGCCACCCGCUGAGUUUAAGCAUAUCAAUAAGCGGAGGAAAAGAAACUAACGAGGAUUCCCCUAGUAACGGCGAGCGAACCGGGAAGAGCCCACGGUGAGAAUCGGUCGCGUCCCGCGUCCGAAUUGUAGUCUGGAGAAGCGUCA
rnacentral:rRNA from 1 species